ensembl:lncRNA
GUUGAUUCCGUGUAGAGAGGUAGCAAGAAGAAAAACCAAGAGGAUUUCGCUCUUAAUGAAUGGAAAUACGGAUCGGCGCUGUACACGCAGCCAGAGUAAAGAGGCUGAGAUCGAAUGGAAGGAAAUAAGAAAUAAGUGGGGAUAGCUCAAGAUAAGGCAAAGCCAAGGGGGCACGCGAACCGGAGACGAAGCAAAACCGCUGCAAUUGACGAUCAACGGAUUACAACAUUAUUCCCGUUGCUGGCGAGUAAACUAUUUUCUAGAGGGAAUUGAUGGUGUCUUUACAGAGCAGAACAGACUUUGAAGAGGUGAUUUUGAAUGCACUCGGCUGAAUCAUGCUGAGUUUGUGGUUAAUAACUUUGGCUAUCAGUUUUAACAAAGGAGACUUUAAGCACAAACAAAUAAUCUGCAAGAGGUCGAAGCAUUGGGUGGUAAAGAAAGGGUACGAGAGGCUUGUCCACCUGGCUGUGGCGUGCAGAAAAGACCUGCCGGUUGUCUACAAGGAGCCUGAAUUAUAGCUCCCCAAACCCAAUAUCCCUGCCAACAGUGCCAAAGCCUGCUAAACCAGCUGCCAUUACUCAACACAAGAAAAGGUUCACCUCCUGAAGAGCAUUCUGGAACCUGCCUGGAACAUUCAAGCAACACAACAUCCAUAUUUUGUAGUAUAAUAUAGAAUGCCUAGUAUGCUCACAACUACAUUGUGGUAUAGAUAUUGCUAGUUGUUGUACAUACAGCAUAUAUAAGUAUACUGUCAAGUGGGUAAAUGAUUCCAGCUGUAUCAGAAAAGUGUUGACUUCAACUUCUGGGUCAAUUAAUUGUGAUAUUCAUGAAAUGUAUUUGGAUAAACUAGCGAAUGUCUUACUGCACAAAACAUGUAUGCCUGGACUUGGUGUAUCAUUUAAACUUUAAUUUGUUGGCAAGUAAACAUGUUUCAAUAAAACAGUAUAUUAGUCUGUCAAUAGUAAGUAGAUUAGUCUGUCAAUAGUAAGUAGAUUGACAGUAGAUUAGUCUGUCAAUAGUAAGUAGAUUGACAGUAGAUUAGUCUGUCAAUAGUAAGUAGAUUGACAGUAGAUUAGUCUGUCAAUAGUAAGUAGAUUGACAGUAGAUUAGUCUGUCAAUAGUAAGUAGAUUUA